rnacentral:lncRNA from 1 species
GCCCGGAACACUCUGCUGAGAAUGACUUUUGGAGCCAUUUGGCAGAGAUUAGGGAAAAGAAAAAGUGGACAUGCUCCAGUUGUGAAGAAAAGACAUAUGGGGAUUUAGAUUAUGAACAGGCAGAAGAGGAAGAAUGAGAAAUCGUUCUUUGGCGAUAAAGAGUCUCUGGAACAGAAGUGAUGCUGAAAUGCGUGAUGAGACCUUGGCGACAUGUGAACUACUCAUUGACUAACAAGACGAUUAGAAAUUGGUAAGUUGUUACUUUUGAUUGCUCUUUUUUUUCCCUAGAGGAUAGUUUUUUGACUAAG